GCCGAAGUGGCGGAAUGGCAGACGCGCAUGGUUCAGGACCAUGUGCCCGCAAGGGCGUGGGGGUUCAACUCCCCCCUUCGGCACCA
rnacentral:tRNA from 1 species